rnacentral:lncRNA from 1 species
UCAAAUUUUAGAGACAAUUUGCACUUGUUCAGAAGAAGAAAAAUCACCACCUUGAAAUAUUUAGAGAAAGAAGCAAAAUUAAACUUGUUACAGACGACCUGUGAUUGUGUGAUGUCUUCGAUCUUCAAAUCGAAGUUGAUCUUAAGAUUCCAUAUACUAAUAGCAAGAUUGCAAUACACAGCUAGUUCCGACGGAACUCAGUCUUCGGAAAAGCAAUCUAGAUAGAACUCCUCUGAUUUCAGUAGGAGGAAAAUGUAGAUUUUAUUGAAUGAAUUUAAAAGUUAUAAUCGGUACGUGGAUUACAAUUGUGUGCAGAAAAAAGAAUCACCUCUCCGGUAACAUCUUGUCUUCAAGGUGGAGACUUGGGCAUAUCUUCUGGAGAUUUGUGAGGAUGUCUUCUCAUGAAACAUCAACAGGUGUGGUUUCUGUCUAUUUCACAAAUAGUUGUGGGAUUUUCAAGUUGUUCCUGUAAAUGACUCUAAGGAUGGAUGAUUCCUUAGAUUUGGUCAUAAAGGACUGCAACGAUUUCUAUUGCAUGAAUCAUAU